rnacentral:rRNA from 1 species
UACGGGAGGCAGCAGUGGGGAAUAUUGCACAAUGGGCGAAAGCCUGAUGCAGCUAUGCCGCGUGUAUGAAGAAGGCCUUAGGGUUGUAAAGUACUUUCAUCGGGGAGGAAAAACAAAACUAAUAAUUUUAUUUCUUGACGUUACCCGAAAAAGAAGCACCGGCUAACUCCGUGCCAGCAGCCGCGGUAAUACGGAGGGUGCUAGCGUUAAUCAGAAUUACUGGGCGUAAAGAGCACGUAGGUGGUUUUUUUAAGUCAGAUGUGAAAUCCCUGGGCUUAACCUAGGAACUGCAUUUUGAAACUGAAAUACUAGAGUAUCGUAGAGGGAGGUAGAAUUCUAGGUGUAGCGGUAAAAUGCGUAGAUAUCUGGAGGAAUACCUGUGGCGAAAGCGGCCUCCUAAACGAAUACUGACACUGAGGGUGCGAAAGCGUGGGGAGCAAACAGGGAUUAGAUACC